rnacentral:piRNA from 1 species
UGCCUGAAAAUUCUGGUUGCCAUACUAAACU